UAAAUGUAGACGAAAUCAAAAACUAAUUGCACAGUUUUGUUGUACUUUGCGAGACGAAUCUUUUGAGCCUAAUUAGUCAAUAUUUGGACAAUAAUUCACAAAUACAAACGAAACGCUACAGUGUGCUACAGUGCUAGCACAGUGAUUUUGGACACCCAAAAUCAGGCAACUUGUUAGGCCCAGCUCGCCUCGUGUGCGCACAGCACAGCAGCCUUGACACCUCUGGUUG
rnacentral:lncRNA from 1 species